rnacentral:misc_RNA from 1 species
GAUGAAGAACGCAGCGAAAUGCGAUACUUGGUGUGAAUUGCAGAAUCCCGUGAACCAUCGAGUCUUUGAACGCAAGUUGCGCCCGAAGCCACUAGGCCGAGGGCACGCCUGCCUGGGCGUCACACGUCGUUGCCCCCACAUCUACUCCUUCGGGAUUGCGGGGGGGCGGAUGAUGGCCUCCCGUGCGCCUAGCCGCGCGGUUGGCAUAAAUACCAAGUCCUCGGCGACGCACGCCACGACAAUCGGUGGUUGCGAAACCUCGGUUGCCCGUCGUGUGCGUUCGUCGCGCAUCGAGGGCUCGAAAAAAUGCUCGGCUCCGGCUGGGCUUUCAACGCGACCCCAGGUCAGGCGGGGUUACCCGCUGAAUUUAAGCAUAUCAAUAAGCGGAGGA